rnacentral:rRNA from 1 species
UACGGGGGGGUGCGAGCGUUGUCCGGAAUCACUGGGCGUAAAGGGCGCGUAGGUGGUUUGAUAAGGGGUGUGGUGAAAAGUCCGGAGCUCAACUCCGGAUCUGCCGUGCCCGACUGUCAAAACUCGAGGGCUGUAGAGGCAGACGGAAUUCCGGGUGUAGCGGUGGAAUGCGUAGAGAUCCGGAAGAACACCGGUGGCGAAGGCGGCCUGCUGGGCAGUGGCUGACGCUGAGGCGCGACAGCGUGGGGAGCAAACAGG